rnacentral:rRNA from 1 species
CAGCAGCCGCGGAAAUACGUAGGUGGCGAGCGUUGUCCGGAAUCAUUGGGCGUAAAGGGAGCGCAGGCGGGCAUGUAAGUCUUUCUUAAAAGUGCGGGGCUCAACCCCGUGAUGGGAAAGAAACUACAUGUCUUGAGUACAGGAGAGGAAAGCGGAAUUCCCAGUGUAGCGGUGAAAUGCGUAGAUAUUGGGAGGAACACCAGUGGCGAAGGCGGCUUUCUGGACUGCAACUGACGCUGAGGCUCGAAAGCCAGGGGAGCGAACGGGAUUAGAUACCCCCGUAGUCCCUGUCUCUUAUACA